AAGGGUAUAGCUCAGUGGUAGAGUGUGUGCUUAGCAUGCAGGAGGUCCUGGGUUCAAUCUCCAGUACCUCCA
rnacentral:tRNA from 1 species